rnacentral:rRNA from 1 species
AGUGAACGCUGGCGGUAGGCCUAACACAUGCAAGUCGAACGGCAGCACAGGAGAGCUUGCUCUCUGGGUGGCGAGUGGCGGACGGGUGAGGAAUACAUCGGAAUCUACUUUUUCGUGGGGGAUAACGUAGGGAAACUUACGCUAAUACCGCAUACGACCUACGGGUGAAAGCAGGGGAUCUUCGGACCUUGCGCGAUUGAAUGAGCCGAUGUCGGAUUAGCUAGUUGGCGGGGUAAAGGCCAACCAAGGCGACGAUCCGUAGCUGGUCUGAGAGGAUGAUCAGCAACACUGGAACUGAGACACGGUCCAGACUCCUACGGGAGGCAGCAGUGGGGAAUAUUGGACAAUGGGCGCAAGCCUGAUCCAGCCAUACCGCGUGGGUGAAGAAGGCCUUCGGGUUGUAAAGCCCUUUUGUUGGGAAAGAAAUCCAGCUGGUUAAUACCCGGUUGGGAUGACGGUACCCAAAGAAUAAGCACCGGCUAACUUCGUGCCAGCCGCCGCAGUAA